rnacentral:rRNA from 1 species
CGACGAGUUUGAUCCUGGCUCAGAACGAACGCUGGCGGCAGGCCUAACACAUGCAAGUCGAGCGCCCCGCAAGGGGAGCGGCGGACGGGUGAGUAACGCGUGGGAACGUACCCUUUGCUACGGAAUAGCCUCGGGAAACUGAGAGUAAUACCGUAUGUGCCCUUCGGGGGAAAGAUUUAUCGGCAAAGGAUCGGCCCGCGUUGGAUUAGGUAGUUGGUGGGGUAAUGGCCUACCAAGCCGACGAUCCAUAGCUGGUUUGAGAGGAUGAUCAGCCACACUGGGACUGAGACACGGCCCAGACUCCUACGGGAGGCAGCAGUGGGGAAUCUUAGACAAUGGGCGCAAGCCUGAUCUAGCCAUGCCGCGUGAGCGAUGAAGGCCUUAGGGUUGUAAAGCUCUUUCAGUGGGGAAGAUAAUGACUGUACCCACAGAAGAAGCCCCGGCUACCUCCGUG